UUGGACUACUCGGGUAUCUAAUCCUGUUUGCUCCCCACGCUUUCGUACCUCAGCGUCAAUACUUGUCCAGUGAGUCGCCUUCGCCACUGGUGUUCUUCCGAAUAUCUACGAAUUUCACCUCUACACUCGGAAUUCCACUCACCUCUCCAAGAUUCUAGCUAUCUAGUUUCAAAGGCAGUUCUGGGGUUGAGCUCCAGGCUUUCACCUCUGACUUGAAUAACCGCCUACGUACGCUUUACGCCCAGUAAUUCCGAACAACGCUAGCUCCCUCCGUAUUACCGCGGCUGCUGGCACC
rnacentral:misc_RNA from 1 species